UACGGGGGUGGCAAGCGUUGUUCGGAAUUACUGGGCGUAAAGGGCUCGUAGGUGGCCAACUAAGUCAGACGUGAAAUCCCUCAGCUUAACUGGGGAACUGCGUCUGAUACUGGAUGGCUUGAGAUUGGGAGAGGGAUGCGGAAUUCCAGGUGUAGCGGUGAAAUGCGUAGAUAUCUGGAGGAACACCGGUGGCGAAGGCGGCAUCCUGGACCAACACUGACACUGAGGAGCGAAAGCCAGGGGAGCAAACGGG
rnacentral:rRNA from 1 species